rnacentral:rRNA from 1 species
GACGAACGCUGGCGGCGUGCUUAACACAUGCAAGUCGAGCGAGGCCCCUCCUUCGGGAGGGUGUCCUAGCGGCGAACGGGUGAGUAACACGCGGGCAACCUGCCCUCAGCUCUGGGAUAACUCCGGGAAACCGGGGCUAAUACCGGAUACGACCUCCACGGGCAUCUGCGGAGGUGGAAAGUUUUUCGGCUGAGGAUGGGCCCGCGGCCUAUCAGCUAGUUGGUGGGGUAGUGGCCCACCAAGGCGACGACGGGUAGCCGGCCUGAGAGGGCGACCGGCCACACUGGGACUGAGACACGGCCCAGACUCCUACGGGAGGCAGCAGUGGGGAAUAUUGCGCAAUGGGCGAAAGCCUGACGCAGCGACGCCGCGUGAGGGACGAAGGCCUUCGGGUUGUAAACCUCUUUCAGCAGGGACGAAGCGAAAGUGACGGUACCUGCAGAAGAAGCACCGGCCAACUACGUG